GAGGAAGGUGGGGAUGACGUCAAAUCAUCACGGCCCUUACGUCCAGGGCUACACACGUGCUACAAUGGUAGGUACAGAGGGCAGCUACAUGGUGACAUGAUGCGAAUCUCGAAAGCCUAUCUCAGUUCGGAUUGGAGUCUGCAACUCGACUCCAUGAAGCUGGAAUCGCUAGUAAUCGCGUAUCAGCCAUGACGCGGUGAAUACGUUCCCGGGCCUUGUACACACCGCCCGUCACACCAUGGAAGCUGGUUAUACCCGAAGUCGUUACUCUAACCGUUUGGAGGAGGAUGCCUAAGGUAGAAUUAGUGACUGGGGUGAAGUCGGAACAAGGUAACCCUAGGGGAACCUGGGGUUGGAUCACCUC
rnacentral:rRNA from 9 species